GGUUGAGUGGUUAAUUUGUUAAGGUGAGGUGUCAAAAUGGUUAAGAGUUUUUUUGGAUUUGUUAUUGAGUGGAAAUUAUCACAUGGGUGAAGGUUUAUGGUAAAGUGAGGGUAAAUGGAUAAAAACACACUCUCGGAGGUAUAAAAUUACGUGUCUACAAUGAGAGGGACAAAGAAAUUAUGUUAGGGGAGCUAGAAUACCCUGGAAGAGAGGGUGUUGUGAUUUCAGUUAUUGUAGAAGUAUUAAGGUGGGGGAUGCCUUUGAUGCUACUCGUAGGAUAAGUAAAGGUAGAAUGACG
rnacentral:lncRNA from 1 species